CCAUGGGCCUCUCCUGGGCUGCAGGGAGCUGCUGCUCCGCGCCUGGAGCUCCUGCCCUCUUCCUGCAUUGCCCUCAGUGCAUGCAGGGCCGCUUCUCUCCCAUUGCUCACUCCUCUCCCAGCUGCUGUCACACUGCGGUGUUUCCUCUCUUAACUCUGCUCUCCCAGAGCACACCCAGCAUCACUCACGGCUCAACUCUGGCAGCGGCAGGACCCUGCUGGAGCAGCUGGAGCUGCUCUGCUCUGACAUGGAGCACUGCUGGGCUCUGCUCACACUGACCAUCCCUGCAGCUGUAGUGCUUAAAUAUGUAAACAUGAGUACUAUUAAAGUACAUGGCAAUGAUGCUGAAGUUAUGGUAAGUUGAACAUGAGGCAGCAGUGUGUGCUGGAGCACAGAGGGCCAGGUGCGCCCUGGGGAGCAGCAGUCCUGGCACUGCCUCCGAGAGAGGGGAGGGGUUGUGUCAUCUCCUCUGUGCUGUGCGGGCCUCACCUCUGGCACUUCGUGUGGGUUGAGUGCCACAGUCAUGAUAGAGAUAUACAGAAGUAAUUGCAGAAUCUAUCGAAGGAAGUUACUCCAGCCAGAGAUCCUACAACAUGAGAGUGAUUAGAUUUACAUGUAUAAAAAAAAAGAAUGAAUCUUUCUUCAGCAGCUCAAGGCCAGAGUUCUUCUUGAAGAUAGUUUUGUUUUCCACCAGAGAUGCUCCAUUCAUUGAUUCCUGAUGUUGAGAAAAGAAGUUGGAAAGACAAAAGAAGACAAAAAGCUCCCCUUUGCUAUUUUCCUUUCCAUGCCUCCACUCAAUUGCUUUUAGUGAGGCUGAGAUCUGAGCUGUAAAAUGCCCUGGAAGGAAAAUUUGCCUUCAUAAACGGUGUACAACCUGGAAAAUAUAGUUCAGUCCUUGUGGGAGCUCCUAUGAAAAGCAGUCGAAAUGUGGAGAAGUUUCUGAAUACACCUUUUUUUCCCCCACAAGUCAUAGAUAAUCUACAAAUUAACUACUGCUUAUCUACAGACAAUUCACGUAUUUUCCCUCAUGUUGGGAAAUGAAGACAGAGACAACGUGAGAUUUGCAUAGGAGGUAGUGAAGCACGCAUUCCCAAUGUAUUAAGAAGCACAGAAGGUUUGAAGCACUACUGCAAGGAGGAAAUGGAGACAAUGUUUUGCCUGACAUUCAUAAUUGCAUUCAAAUACUCAGCUGGAUUCAUAGUGCUGGUCUUUGAACAAGGAGAAACUAAAUCAGGUGUGCUCUCUGUCACAUCUGUCAGCAUCAUGCUGUUGUGCACCUCAGGUGUUUGUCCAUAAAUACUCUGUUCACAGCCAGUAGGAUCAGGUAAAGAUGGGGUAAGCAAGCUGUAGGCCUGGGGAUGGCUGCAAAAGGAACAAAAUAUCACUGUGCAGUAGUUGCUGGUGAGUUCUUCCAUUAUAAAGCAGCAGGCUUUAACCACAGGAUCUUGUCAGCACCUGAAACAAGGGAAAUGCCUAUGCAAAUAUUUUGCUGGGAUGUGUUCAGAAAUACAAGUAUUUACAUCUGGGAAAGAAGAAAUGCUACAGAAAUAGCACAUACACUCACAGACAAAAGCAAAGCUGAAUUACACCUAAAAAGGCAGAAUAGUGCCAGCCUGAAGGCAGAGAUUUUUAGCCAACUUUUGCUUGAAAAUGGCUUGGGACUAUGAGCAAGGGGAUUAGCGCCUGACAUUUGAUGUUUCUUCCCUCAGAAAAAAACAGUCAAAUAAAUGGCAAAUAAACAUGACUGCAUCCCAGUUGCCUCAAUCCACCACCAAUCUAUAACACUGACAAGACUUCAAGAUCCAGAACUUUGAACCAAAGGGGAAAGAAAAUGAAUUAGUUCCAUAUUUGGACUCAGCCUCUCCACUUCUGCAGUGAAUUCUAUAAUAAUUUAGUUGUUUUUCUGCAUACUUCUUGCACACCUGCAGCUCAUUGGGUUUAGAGAAAUGAGUCAGCAGGUCACGGAGGAUGGGGAGAAGCUCCUUGUGAAUGUUCACAUUACCUUCUGGUAAUUAUAUAAUUUAUCAGGCACCUUCCCAGGGAUCAGAGCCAGCACUACGCUCUAUCUUGUGCUUUGUUUGGUUCUGAGAGAGCACAAAGCAAGGGAGACUAACAGUGUUUUGGAAGUGGAUAGAAAAAUGUUGACAAAAGAUCCUUUAAACCUCCUUGGUCUGAGCCUUUUAUGGCAAAAGCGGGUUUUGAGAGAG